rnacentral:rRNA from 1 species
AUUGAACGCUGGCGGCAGGCCUAACACAUGCAAGUCGAACGAGUGGCGGACGGGUGAGUCAUGUCUGGGAAACUGCCUGAUGGAGGGGGAUAACUACUGGAAACGGUAGCUAAUACCGCAUACCAUCAGAUGUGCCCAGAUGUGAUUAGCUUGUUGGUGGGGUAACGGCUAACCAAGGCGACGAUCCCUAGCUGGUCUGGGAGGAUGACCAGCCAAACUGGAACUGAGACACGGUCCCGACUCCUAGGUGAGGCACAAGUGUGGAAUAUUGGACAAUGGGCGAAAGCCUGAUGCAGCCAUGCCGCGUGUCUGAGAAAGGCCUUCGGGUUGUAAAGUACUUUCAGCGGGGAGGCGUUAACCGCAGAAGAAGCAACGGCUAACUCCGUGCCAGCAGCCGCGGUAAUAC